UACAGAGGUCUCAAGCGUUGUUCGGAUUCAUUGGGCGUAAAGGGUGCGUAGGCGGCGCGGUAAGUCGGGUGUGAAAUCUCGGAGCUUAACUCCGAAACUGCAUUCGAUACUGCCGUGCUUGAGGACUGGAGAGGAGACUGGAAUUUACGGUGCAGCGGUGAAAUGCGUAGAUAUCGUAAGGAAGACCAGUGGCGAAGGCGGGUCUCUGGACAGUUCCUGACGCUGAGGCACGAAGGCCAGGGGAGCAAACGGG
rnacentral:rRNA from 1 species